UAAUACGUAGGGUCCAAGCGUUAUCCGGAAUUACUGGGCGUAAAGAGUCUGUAGGCGGUUGCUCGCGUGAGAUGCGAAAUCUGGUGGCUCAACCAUCUAGACUGUAUCUCAUACGGAGCGACUAGAGGACGGCAGAGGCAAGUGGAACUAGCGGUGUAGGGGUGAAAUCCGUAGAUAUCGCUAAGAACACCAAUGGCGAAGGCAGCUUGCUGGGCCGACCCUGACGCUGAGAGACGAAAGCGUGGGGAGCGAACAGGAUUAGAUACCCUGGUAGUCCACGCCGUAAACGAUGGAUGCUAUCAGUCUGGAGUAUCGACCCUCUGGGCUGAGAAGCUAACGCGUUAAGCAUCCCGCCUGGGGAGUACGAGCGCAAGCUUA
rnacentral:rRNA from 1 species